GAUGAAGAACGUAGCGAAACGCGAAAGGUAAUGCGAAUUGCAGAAUCAGUGAGUCAUCGAAUCUUUGAACGCACAUUGCGCCUCUCGGUACUCCGGGAGGCACGCCUGUUCGAGCGCCAUUACACACCCCAAGCGUGGCUUGAUGUUGGACGAUGUCUGUGACAGGACAGGUCUGGAACGCGUUGGCGCCGCCGGCGGACCACGAGCGUAGCAAGACGAAAGUCAUCGCUCUGUUGGACAUCCGACGGUUGGCUGUCUUGGAGGAUGUGCUGGGGUUACCCGACAUGUCGUCUAACGAAUCACGAGUUUGGCCUCGGAUCAGGCGGGGAUACCCGCUGAACUUAAGCAUAUCAAUAAGCGGAGGA
rnacentral:misc_RNA from 1 species